rnacentral:rRNA from 1 species
ACGCUGGCGGCGUGCCUAAUACAUGCAAGUAGAACGCUGAAGGAGGAGCUUGCUUCUCUGGAUGAGUUGCGAACGGGUGAGUAACGCGUAGGUAACCUGCCUGGUAGCGGGGGAUAACUAUUGGAAACGAUAGCUAAUACCGCAUAACAGUAGAUGUUGCAUGACAUUUGCUUAAAAGGUGCAAUUGCAUCACUACCAGAUGGACCUGCGUCGUAUUAGCUAGUUGGUGGGGUAACGGCUCACCAAGGCGACGAUACAUAGCCGACCUGAGAGGGUGAUCGGCCACACUGGGACUGAGACACGGCCCAGACUCCUACGGGAGGCAGCAGUAGGGAAUCUUCGGCAAUGGACGGAAGUCUGACCGAGCAACGCCGCGUGAGUGAAGAAGGUUUUCGGAUCGUAAAGCUCUGUUGUAAGAGAAGAACAGGUGUGAGAGUGGAAAGUUCACACUGUGACGGUAUCUUACCAGAAAGGGACGGCUAACUACGUGCCAGCAGCCGCGGUAAUACGUAGGUCCCGAGCGUUGUCCGGAUUUAUUGGGCGUAAAGCGAGCGCAGGCGGUUAGAUAAGUCUGAAGUUAAAGGCUGUGGCUUAACCAUAGUACGCUUUGGAAACUGUUUAACUUGAGUGCAAGAGGGGAGAGUGGAAUUCCAUGUGUAGCGGUGAAAUGCGUAGAUAUAUGGAGGAACACCGGUGGCGAAAGCGGCUCUCUGGCUUGUAACUGACGCUGAGGCUCGAAAGCGUGGGGAGCAAACAGGAUUAGAUACCCCUGGUAGUCCACGCCGUAAACGAUGAGUGCUAGGUGUUAGACCCUUUCCGGGGUUUAGUGCCGCAGCUAACGCAUUAAGCACUCCGCCUGGGGAGUACGACCGCAAGGUUGAAACUCAAAGGAAUUGAC